GAGGAGGCCGGGCCGAGCGAUCUUAAGCUGAUACAAGGUAGAAGUGAAGAGAAAUGUAGAAGGAUCAACAUUUGCAGAGUGCAUGUUACAGCUGGGGCUUCUGACACUGCUUUUUCCCAGUAAGUACGUAUAUAACUACACAUGCACACCAUAUACAUCUAUAACAUCAGCCAGCUCUCUGUGCUGCUAACUGCUAUGGGAGAGGUGCAUUGGCUUCCUCCAAGAAGCACUUGUUCGUCCUCAUCCCAGCCCACAGGUGAUGGAUACACACACUUUUCUCCUAUCUUGCAUUCAGAAGUUACCUUUAGGCUCUCUUUCACAAAUUUCUAAUGUACCCAUCAUAGGGUCAGAGCCUGAAGGUGAAAUCAGAGUCCAGGUGAAUGUUAUUCCCCUCCUCCCCUCCUUUAUUUUUUUUUUCUGCUUGCAACACUCCUUUUCAAAUUUAGAAAUUAUAGUUAUUUUCCUGCCAAUGUUUUCUGCUUCCAUGUGGCAAACAUUUCUCUUUCCAGUGGAGCAGAAGCCAGCAUGGCUGCCUUGAGCGUGCACGGGUUUUGUGUAUCCUGUCAACACUUUACGAGACAAAGUGAACAGUCCCAGGAUCUGUUCUGCCUCCCUCUAACCCCCUCGUGCAUCAGCCCUCGGUUUUAGUGAAUCAUGCAGGAACCUGAGGCAAAGUACUGGCUGCUUUUUUCUUGUAAAUACGAUUUUGAGGACACUGCUUGUUUUAUCAGAACUAUGAACCAUUUUCCAACUUUUCUCUGUAGCUUUUCAAGCCUUGCUAUACUAGAAAAUGUUAUGUAACACCCAAAGCACAGACUUCCACAUGACUGAGUGACCACUCUUAGUUGCUCAAGUUUCAUGUAUAUGGAUCAUUUGUCCUAAUUGCUCAUUGUGUGAACUUUUUAUAAGGACUCUGGCCCAUACAAAAUACAGACGAUUGUUGUUGCAGGGUAUGAGACAGUGUGAUGAGCUGGUGUAGCUUGGUGUCUUUUACAGCUGGAGGAGGUGAGUGGGUUGUAGAACUGUACUGGAGGUGUCAGUGAAUACCAUUAUCCUUUUCGUUAGGCACCCAGCACACACGCCCUUAGAGACAGGAUUCCUGGCUUGGUGGCCAUUACCCAUCCUGAACUACAAUGGUUGUUCUCAAGAAAAACAUCAAGCAUUAGGGAAAAGAGUUUCAAGACAGGCAGGUUUUUCUUGUUAGUGCAUCUUAAAAUAUUUCUGUCACUUGUUACACUCAUAUUCUUUCAUAUAGCUACAUUUAUAAAAUGAACAAAUAGAGUAGUUGUAUGUGCUUGUUAAUAUAUAGGGCUAUGCACUGCUUCUGGAAAAGUCCAUUGUUGUGAAUGGAUAUUAUCUUGAAACACGUGUGUGUCCCUUUGCCACGGAGAAGUCCCUUUGCCGUGAGAACUUGGCUAAUGAAUUGGAGAUUAAUUCAUGUUUUCCGUCAUAUAUCUGCUUGUGUCUAUUAAAGGGCUUAAUUGGAAUCAGUGAGUCUAAGUCCUAAGGAAGUAUGUUAGAUUUUCUCUUCUGUUCACUUUGAUUUCAUAUUUUGCAGAACAAGUAUAAUACUGCCCAUGUAAUGUUCCUUUGUCACGUAGUAUGAGCACUGCAGCCUCUGCUGAAUAGUUUUUAGCUGUUUAUAAGGUUAUAGAAAACCACUCCCCUCUCUGUUUCACAUGAAUACCUUUUAAAAACUAGACCUUAAAUACGGUUUGGGUUUUUCAAGCAUUGCAUCAGGUGGUCAUAGGUGGAUUUUUGCAUGCUAAGUUAGAACAGAUGUAAAAUGAAACAAGAUUUCAGCUCCUAGCACAGGCUAAGUGCCAGCUUCCAAAACCUGUAUUUCAGGGUAUGUUUUAAGUUCUGCUUCAGUUUUUAUGAUAUCAUUGUGUACUGUGUUGUCAACAGAUUUGCUUCUGCUAUACCUCUGCCCUUGUGAUACAUGCACUGAUGACUGCUUAACUCUUGCCAGAGUGUGUCUCCCAUAUUGUGAAUAAAUUGCAGCUUGAAGUUGCCACAGAAUCACUGUUUUAUUUAAUAUGAUGUUGUUAUGGUUCUGCCAUGAUGGACUUGUGAUUCUUUUACUUUCAGCAAGUACAUGAAAAAAUUACGGUGUCUUGUCCUCUAUCUGCCACCUAUAAAUCAAAGAACAUGAUUUGACAUAUAGCUAGUCCGACAGUUGCCAAAGACAUAUGCCAGUUGGGACAAGACCAAAAUGAUGUUGAAAAAUAGCUGACAAACCCAUGAUCACUCAGGGCAGAAUGUGCCUCUACAACUUCAUUCAAAUAAAUCAAAUAAUGCCUCCCAAAGUGACUCUGUGCUUCAUGCCUUCCCUCUUCUUUUGGGACUAGUUUUUUCUGUCACUGGAUUAGACGCUGUAACAGAGCUGUAGAACUGGGAAUUGCAGAGAUUUGUUCUGUGGCCAAGUGGAGUCUUGGGUCUGUGGCACUGAAGCUUUCCAUCAGCCAUAUGCUGGCAGGGCAGGAACAGAGGUGAGUUUGGAGACUGGCAGCCAGUGGGUGUAGCAGGAAGACAAAGGCUGGGACUGGUGGCGAUGAUCUAAGAGCUUUUGUUUUCACAGCACCUUUCAGGGAAAGGAUGGGGCAAUAUUUAGAAUGAAAGGAAGGGUAAAGACCAGACAGCACGGACAUCUUUUCUAGACCUCUCAGCAAAUGGUGUGGGACAUGCACCUUGGCAGCUAGCUGGAGUCAAGAAGCUCAGAUCUAAGUCCACCAAGAGGCGAGGGACAGGAAUGGAUGCAAGCCAUCCUUGCACUCUGACUGAAGCCAGGUGAUCAUUUCUGCAGUCUUUACUCAAGCCAGGCUCUCCUUGGACCAGCGAGACUGGUCCCUGUACAGACUACAGAUUUUGGGCUCUAUGGUGGCAGAUUUCUGCAAAAACCUGGUGCUGCAAGGCCAUUGCUUGGGGCUUCACCAGUAGAGAGUGAGCACAGGAGGAAGGGAUGUUUCCGAAUGAGAAAUAGCUGCUUUUUUUUUAAACGAGUGAUUUGUUGGCUUCAGGCAAAUGGCAGAAGGUUUUGCUGAAAAGGCUUCUUUAUGGGAUUGUGGUUUUGCUUGGGGUAGCUGAGAGAAGUCUGUAAACCCCAGGAGCUCAAGGAGUUUGACAGGUUUGACAGGCCUUCCUGCUACUUAUGAACAGGAGGCUGGAGCAAGUGUUCCUGAGAUCACCUCCCUGUUUUCCAUCAAAGCAUGCUGUCAAGUCAGAGGAAGAGAGAAGCUGUUUUCUUCCCCAUUUUAUUUUCUUAUAUAAAGACAAUCUUAGAAAUCUUUAUUUCUGGAUCUUUUAAACAUUGUAUAUCCGGGCUCCCCUCAAUACAAAAUUCCUGUCAACUUUUUAGGCUUUGGAUUGGACCUUUCCACAGAGCUUUGAGCACAUUAAAAUUAUUACAGCAAUAAUCAUUAGCGACAAUAGGAGAGUCACACCAAAGACUGGUGUACAUCACCUCUGGAAACCAUGCCAGCUCUAGAGAGCCACACUCUCACCUGGACCACAGUACCCACUGUCAUCCUUUCUUGUGUCCACUUACCCUACCGUGCUUCAUGUGCUGCCCUGUCCAAAAGUGAGAAAAUGAUGAAAAUUAUAAAAAUGAUGAAUGAAAAUAAUUAAGGUAAUGAAAAUGAAAACAACUGUAGAGCUGUAUCUGUCUCGUGUAAUAAUAGUGCUGCAGCUUCUGGUGCUGACAGGAAGAAGAGCCCUCUUGACUCUCCCUGGGUCAACCUAUGCCUACACACUACCCCUGACUCAGUAAAGGGAGUGAGUGCUUCUAAUUAACAUCACAUACACCCCGAAUUUGCAAAGCAAUGGGCUUGGAUUUCUGCUGCAACAGGAGUGGCUGCUGCUGCAAUACUUAAACCAUCACCGAUCAGAGAGCUGUUGCAGUGCUUGAGCUGGGGGUCACCACCCUCCAAAGGGAAAGCCUGGAAAGAAUCAGUUAUUCAUGAAAAGUGUACACAUAAGGAGGAAUUUCCUAUUUCUUUGAAUAUUGGUAAUUUAAUUUAAAAGGAAAUCCAGUGACAACUUCCCAGGAAAUAAAUGUUGUAUUGUAAAUCUCUGUGGUGUAAAGGUGCUUAGCUGAAAAUUAACUGAAUUCUUCUUACUCUAGUUUCUAAUUGUGCCUCAGUUCCUAAACCAGCCCAAAGCUUGGGAAACUGAAAGGAGCUCUGAUAACGUGAACAGAAUGCUUAGGGCAGAACAAACCCAAGAAAUUAAGUUAAACUUGCCAACUGAAGUAAGCCUCUGAGAUUUAUCAAACAUGAGAGGUGGAGAAAACUCUGGAGCCAGCACAUGAACCUGCUAAUAUCUUCUGCAAAAUCUUCCAGCCACAAGGAGCUCCUCAGACCUGGGCUGUUGUCUCCCAAGUACAUGGGCAUUGUGAGAAAAACACAACGGCAUAUUCGACUCUAAUGAGGGAAAAAGACAUAUCUGAGUAAAUGUGGUUUGUCCAGGAGAUGAGGAGAGCCUCCAACAAGCUGUUCUGCUGUACUAACGAGCAUACAUGGCUAUAAAGUCCCAACAUCCGAAGAGUGAUAGGAAAUCAUUUGGUGACAUCCGUGCAAGAACUCUCACCCCACCAGUGCCAGAGAAGAUGUCACUUUUCAGAAGAACGGUAGCUGCCAGCGGGAGGCUCAGCAAUGCAGAUUUUAAUGUGGAGAUUUAAUUUCAAAUACAAUUCACAGUUUGUAUGCGGUUGAAAAAUGUUUAUUACCACCUGGAUGUUCAGGACACUGUUUUGGAUUAAAUAAAUUUCAAUUUGGACAAUG